GUGUUUGUGUGUGGGUUGGGGGUGGGGGUGUCCUAUGUUUUCUGGCUUGUCACAUAUCUCUGGGGCCUGCUUUGCAGUUCCUGCAUUUUCCAGACUGGGCUAAGGCGCCGCAUCUGGCCUGGUUCUGUCUGUAGGGCCCAGGCCCACUGCUGGGGAGAGUGGCCUCUGCCUCUCAUCUUGCUAAUCAGGUCUGUGACCUUCUGCUGGGGUGUUUGGACUCAUGGUUGCUCAGGGAGUGUGGGUCCUGGCAGGCUGCCCGGGGUAGUGCCCAGACAGAUGCCCUGAUCCCCUAGGGCACGGGGCCCAGCUGGCAUCUUGAAGACUAGCUCCUGCGGCUGAUCGGUUUCAGGUUCUCAGAGGACUAGGGCAGGGGAGGUGCUGGUAGCUUCAUAGUCACACCUUCACCAUGCACAUAGUAGGUGUUCUUUACACAUCUGCAGCAUUUACUAACACUUCUCUCAGCCUUUAUUGUGCUGGGCUAUAAACUUCUGCCUUUGGUGAUGGAUUCCUCUCUUCAUUCAUGCCUCCCCAAGUAGAAGCUUGCAUUGGGCUCUGGCCUGGGAGUAGAAGAGUCAAAACUGAAGACACACGGCCCUGCCAUGGAGGUAUGCACAGACUAGCAGGGUCUGUAUGCAUGCAUGACUGUGAUCUAGAGACAGCUACAAUGUGGCUAGGAUGAACUGAUGCACGAGUGGACAGAUGGACAUUAGCUGGAAAGAACUGAACUUCAAGGGGGUGGACUGGCCCGGCAGCAGGAGGCUGAUGCUACUGGACCUUGAUGAAGUCCAGAUGCUGAGCUGCUGCAGGAAGUGGUAGAGGCUGUCUCAUUCUUAAUCAACUCCAUCUUGCUGUUCACAGAGUUAAUUAAUUAACGUGCUAUUCGGAAGUAAGAGUUGGGGCAAGAAAUAAGGGAGGACUAAAGUCCCCUUUAACUUCAAAGAUCCUGUGUCUAUUUCUGAUGCCCCAAAUCCUCUAAGUUUCUGAUGCACUGUUGUACCCAGGGGAGACAGAAAUCUGCAAUUCAAGAAAAUCCAGGCCAGAUUAAAGAGCCCGGCACUGAGCCCGAGUGCCCAACAUGCAGCCACUUGCAACAAAGGCCCAUUAGGAUCUGCCUCCUGCCCGCCGGCUUGUCACCUCAUCUCUCCCGCCACAAUGCUGACAGAUUGGUGGAGCUGGGUUCUCUUCCUCCCAGAACAAUAUUUUAUGAGAAGUCUGUUUUAUUGAAAUAUUUUCCGCUGGA